GCUAGCGUUGUCGUCAGCUCGUGUCGUGAGAUGUUGGGUUAAGUCCCGUAACGAGCGCAACCCUUGUCCUUAGUUACCAGCACGUUAUGGUGGGCACUCUAAGGAGACUGCCGGUGACAAACCGGAGGAAGGUGGGGAUGACGUCAAGUCAUCAUGGCCCUUACGGCCUGGGCUACACACGUGCUACAAUGGUCGGUACAAAGGGUUGCCAAGCCGCGAGGUGGAGCUAAUCCCAUAAAACCGAUCGUAGUCCGGAUCGCAGUCUGCAACUCGACUGCGUGAAGUCGGAAUCGCUAGUAAUCGUGAAUCAGAAUGUCACGGUGAAUACGUUCCCGGGCCUU
rnacentral:rRNA from 1 species